UAUGGUGUGACUCAGUGGUAGAGCAUUCAUCUAGCAUAUAUAAGGCCCCUGGGUUUGAUUCCCAGCACUGCAC
rnacentral:tRNA from 1 species